CACAUUUAACACUCUUCACUCUUAGGAAAUUCCAAGACUUUUGGGAGCUAUGAGUCAGAAACUAUGGAUGAAGACCAAAUAUGUAUGGGAAACAUAUUUUGGUCAUCUGAAUGACAAUAUAUAUAGUCAUAUACAUCACAAGAUUGCACAGAGCACUCUGGGAAGUCAUUCCAGAAAUAACAAUUGUGGCGGAACCACAAAAUGAAAGCUGCUUGGAAUAUCUGAAUAUUUGCUGUGAAGCAACCAUCCUGGAGAAGCUCCCGAAGAUACCAGGCUUCAUGCAAUUGAAGGAGUGGUCAAAGUUUAUCCUGAGCCUGCAAGGUCUUGAUUGACAUCAACGUAGAGUUAUCCACCUGCCAGGAGACAUGUCUUGGGAAGGCCUGUCUGAGCAUCUUGGAGAGGCCACAUCUUCGGUACCAUAUCAUUCAUUUCCACUUUGACAAGGAAGUCCUGGGAGCAGGGACGCUCAGAGAAACUGGAACCUCAACAUACCCUGCACCUCAGCUUCAUGUUCAGGCAGCAAGAUGAGUGAGAGGAGUCCUCUCCCCUGGCUUGGUGUCUUCUCUCAGAAAUAUGAAAGACCCCAUGAUUCAGAUCUACUACCCUCCAAGGUCACCGAACAAGAACUGGGACAAAGGUCAGAAAUAUCAACACCAGCAUUUAAGGAGCUUUUCAAAUCAAUGCUUGUCACUUGAAUCCCUGCCCAGCAGUCUUCUA